UCCGAGGUUCUCCCGCGCCCAGCCGCCGGGUUACGCCUUCUCCAAAUCGCAGGGACGCGGAGCAGAGCGAGAGGAGCCGUGCGCAGCAGGAGAAAGGCCAGCGCCCCAGGACUCCUUAGGAAUCGGACCAUAUUAGGACAUCUCACGUAGCCGGAGCUGGGAACCCGGAGGUUAAUGCGGUCAGGCCACCGAUGAGGUGGGCCACGCGCUCCUAUCGUCCAGAGGCAGUGAUGUCAGGCGAUAUCAUCAAGAACACCGACCGCCUGCUUUCCCUGGGGAAUUGGAGGAAAUGAGAUUGUUACUGGAAAUGUGCGGGCCUUCUUUGAAGGCCUGAUGCAGGAGGUCCAGGCCACGUCUCCCUACGCCAUGCUGGGGCAUGAUGGCACAGAUCUGUUCAUUUGCAUCAAUCUUUGUCCAUAAAUAAAGACUCUAAAUAA